UUUAUUAACAUCAUCGGAGAGGCUAAAUAUUUAAGAAAA
rnacentral:sRNA from 1 species